GUUUAUUUACUCAUGAGUUACCUUUUUCAUAUUUUUUCACUUUAAAGAACCAAUCUUCAACCAGUUUUGUAACGACAUUAAGAUUUGUUUCAUUUUUUUUUAUUUUGAUUUGUAUUCGGAACAAUUUUUUUUUACUGUCAUCGCUAUGGUGAAAACUGCAAUCGCUGCUGCAGAUUGGACAUAUUGUAUGUAGUAGUGUGCUGGUAGAUAAUUUGAAACGCGAAACUCACAUAUUGA
rnacentral:lncRNA from 1 species